CCCCGCUCAGCAUCGCACUUGGAGAGUUUCCAGUACUCUACCAGUCUCGGCUAUGGGAGGGAGAGUCAAGCAGAGGCCUACUCAUUCCAUUCCUAGCUUGGCCAGUGGGCCAGCAAAUGGAAGGCAAUCUGCUACAAGU